UUAAAAUCUGCUUGAAUUUACUGAGUCAGUCCCUGUUUCUGUGUCUGCUAAUGUCACAGGUGUCAAGAACACAAAAAGACGCAGUGGGAACUCGAGCCAUGUUCACAGGUACACAGCCAGACACUCAAGAAUCAUAGGAAUCAUAAGGAAAGAGAUUAUCAGGAUCCACAUCCAGUAUCUCGCUGCACCAUAACCUACUUCGUCAUUCUACCAGAAAAUGAAAUGGAAGUUUUCUGAUGUGGCUCC
rnacentral:lncRNA from 1 species